rnacentral:misc_RNA from 1 species
AAAAAAAAAUUAACCCCUCUAAAAUUACUACAAACAUUUGUAAUACAACGCUGCAUUAAAUUUGCAAUCAAGUUACGUUAUUAUUCAUAAACCUUGAAAUGAUUCGCCUACAAAUAAAUUUCUAAGCCAUAUUGAUAAUAAAAAAAAAUAUUACAACGUAAAAUGUAACCGCAGAGUUAUAAAAUAUUUUAUAAAGUCACAUUGUUUUCAAGAAAACAAUGGCACGUGUAUUUUAUAAGUUAAUUUUAAAUAUCUCAAACAUCCGGAUUUGAAGAUAUGAAAUACGUUAUAAUAUUUAAUGUUGUUUUACAUACGCAAAUCAUUUUGACUGUUAAUGAGAGUUUUAAUUAUGAAAAAAUAAACAAAUUUGGAUUGGGUAAACGAAUUUUUUACAGGUACUCUGAAUUUUAGACGUAAUAACAAAUACGAGUAUCCAGAAGAACUACAGACAAAUAGACCAGCACCCUACGUCAGAUCGCCGUAUCGAAGCGUGUACCAGGGUAUCAGGAAAAAGGAAGAUAGACGGGUUUAUAAUAAAAGGUUCGAAUACGCGCCACAAGCUAGUGGCCAUAAGUUGGUUUGCAAUGGAUUAUUCGAUUGUGCGUUAACACACAUAGCGGUAGAGACAAAUGGUAGUAUACCAAUAAUAUUUCGUGGAGGCGUUGGCUACAAGUACUUUACUAUUAUCAUCAGGGCAGAACCAGGAGAAGAAUUGUCAGGGAGAGUUAAAGCCUACUGCGCAAAAAGGCCAGACCAUGAAGGUAGUAUAUAGGAUGUGAUGUUCUAGUAUAUUUUUGAUGAAAGAUGAAGUACGAUAAAUGAAACAGCAGACACUGUAAAUAAACAUGUUUUUUAACUAAUUUUUUUUAUUUAGACAGGUCUAUUGUCGCAAUUGCCUUAGCUCUCCUUCCCGCUCCAGGGGUGUGGGUCGAUAAUUGUCACAGUUUUUGGGUUUAAUAUUUUUUUAUUUAUAUAUUUAUUAAA